GUGCAAACUCCCGCUCUGCUCUGCUUUGCUCCACUCUCCUAAUUAGCUCCGUUUUCCCUGCAGGCUGAAGUAUUUAAUGGCGUCACCACCCGAACCGGAUAGCACCACUGAUCAUUUCAAUUCUGUAACUUCAGACAGUGAAACAGGAACUGUUGCCUUUACAGAAGAGCCAGAGGAACCAUUGCUUGUGUUUGUAGACCGUGCCACACACACUGUUGUAUUUAAACAAGAGCCAGCGGAACCAUUGUCUGUUGAUACAGACUCAUCAGGCUCAGAGUUUGAGGGGCUCCCACGAUAUGCUCCACGCCCUGGCCAACGCAGGAGACUCUUUUAUUCAAGAGAGUUUAUUCCCUGUUGAGACACCACUUUCAAAGAGAUUUGAAAGAAAAAUUCAUAACAUACAGUUAAUACAUGUUCUGAAAAAAAACCCAGAGCUAGUGGAGGAGGCCAGACAUCCCCAUCUGACAACAGAGAAUAUAAGAAGUCGGCUGAGGAAGCUGGCUUUCCGUUACGAAGAAGUUAUUCGUAAGGAUGCCUGGGUUUGAGAAUAUGUAUCGGGCCUCCACCUCCAGUUUGCAAAGAAAGCCAAAAAAAAGUGCACCGUGCCCUCUCUGUGGCGUCUCAUUCCGAAAUGUCCGCCAACAUCUUAUAAACCUCCAUAAAGUACUCAACAAAAUGGAGCUCAGGAUCUUGCUGCAGUACACAUCUGGCACGUAUAAUGGCCUCAAUGAUUGCCCUAUCUGCAAAAGGUCUAACUUUGUGCGUUUAGAUAAACACAUGAAACUAUGCCAUUCAGAUAUGACAGAAGUGCAGCAGAAGGAACUUCUUACGAAAGCUAAAAAACAGACAAAUCUUUUGGAACUGAAAACAUUACGGGCCAAAAAUCCAUCCCCUCCCUUGGUUAGUACCCUCGAUGUGGAGAUGUUGGCCGAGUCAGAUGAUGAAACAAGCUCCCCUCAGCAAUCGAUUAUGGUACAGAAGGACGUCAUUACACACCAGGUUGCUCCCCACCAAGGACCAGAGGAAGGAGACACCAGAGAGAGGGAGGACACUGCUCCAACCACACAACCAAACUGCAAGGGCUGCAAGGUAACUGAACAACUGAAAGAAGAGAAACACAUUAAAAAAUAAAAACCCAUUCCCCCUGUGGAGAAAAUAUGAGAGAAGGAAUACUGUACAGACGGAACUUCCAGUUUUUGAAAAAGUCCUUCAGACCUGGCUUAAUCAUAUUGAAGGCGUCGCGUAUCGCCAGAACGAGAACGCACGCCAGAGAGUCACACGUGUGCGAUCCUGGUUGGCUUACAUGAGUGGUGGAGGGGUGCCAACCAUGGAUUUUGCUUUCUUAUCAGACCCCAUCAAGCUUAUAAAGUAAGUAUAGAUUUCACAGGUCAACAUUUUUAAUUAAGAAUUAAUGUGCCUUUCUCACUUUCCUUACAGCUGGGCGCACUCUUUGAGGAAUUUUGCUGUAACAACACAAAGAAUAUACAUAAGCAAUGUGAGGUCUUUCCUGAAAUUUCUCCUUGAAGCACGACUGGACACUGUGAGAGCCUCUAAAAAGAAAUUGAAGGGGGCAAUUUUCAGCCUAGACAGGCUUCGGAGGAAAAUAACAAGCAGGCUUGUUGUACACAAACAAGCUGUUAAGGCCAAAAAAAUCAAAAAACAUUCUGGAUGCAGUACACAUACAGACCUUCCUGGAAAAGGCUAGACGAGCAAUACCGAAUGCUUUAGUCACUCUGGAGCAAAAUCCCCUGCCACAAAACCUUUACCACCUAUUUGACCUGUUGUCAGGGUUCACAAUUUGCCUGACAGGACACCGUAGGAGAGUCUUGUUGGGAAUGGAGGCAGAAGUCCACGCUGCACCUAAAGACAAAAAUGGACGUCGAGUUACUAUGAUGAACAGCAACAUGCUGAUGCAGACAUGCCAAGCGAAGGAAAUGAGACGGGGCACAGGAAAGACACAGCUGAUGGAGACAAAGAUGAAGAACAGCAGCACAUUGAUGCAGACAUGCCUAGUGAAGGAAAUAAUGAGACGGGGUACAGGACAGACACAGCUGAUGGAGAUGAAGACAAAGAACAUGUCGAUGCAGACAUGCCUAGUGAAGGAAAGGACAAGAUCAAAUUUACAAACGAGACUGAUGGACUUAAUGAAAUGGAUAUGGGAUGCAGCACAGAGAAGACCGACAAUCACAUAAACAUAGACUUGCCAAAAGAUAAUGAGAAUUUACUCAAUUUUUACAAAAUUUCAGUAGUGUGCUAAUUGGGGCAAACUCCAGCUCAGCUCAACUCUGCUCUGCUAUCCUUAUAGCAGUAUUUUCUCUGCAGGCUGAAGAUGUUUGCAAACAACCGUCCACCAGCACCAGACCAACGCUUGUACACUUUGGCGGUCCGGGGGAGGAAGAUGUAUGAGCUACUCAGUGGCAUCAAUGAUGCUAUGGAGACCCUCGACAAGAUUCAAGCUUCCCUUAACAAUGUUAAUGAAGCCCUCAUCCGGAGCAUCAAUCCUUUUAAGGAGGCCCCUGAUGAUGAUCAAGUGUCCCCUGACGAUGUUUGUGGAGCCACUGGCCACAGUCCGAGUAUUUUUAUGGAGGCUGGGACUGCUGAGGAGGAUGGUAACCCAGUCCAUGAAGAGGAAGCCAUGGUAAAGAGUGCAUGUUCAGGGUGAGAUUCAUAAACAUGCACAUACAUGUGAUCAUACACACAUCAUCCACAUGUACACCACACAACACUCUCUAUAGAUAGAGACACACACAAUAUUGACUUUAAAUAAAAUCCCAGUA